rnacentral:snRNA from 1 species
AAUUGUGUCCUUUACUAGAUCGUAUAAAUCUUUCGCCUUUUACUAAAGAUUUCCGUGGAGAGGAACAUUUAUGUAAUCAAAAUAACUUCAGUGUGGCUACACUAAACAGAGCUA